rnacentral:lncRNA from 1 species
CGGGGCGGGAGGUGGGGGCGCUGCCCCGCGCCUUUGUUCAGCGGGGAGAGGACCUGCGGCGGAGCCGAGACGACCGCGCAGAUAGGCACGCACCCGGCAGCGCGGCCCCGCGCCCACGGGACGAGGAGGAGGAGGGAGGCAGAAGGUCCCCUUGCAGCCUCCCUCACUCUCUCCCUCCCUCCAAGCUCAUCUUCGGCAACUUUAUCCGGAGAGAUCGAGGCAACUUUCUCCCAUCUCUCCCGCCUCUUCAAAGCGGUCAGCCUCGCUGUAGGCUCGUGAGGAAACCGGGGUUCGCAGUGUAAAGAAAGCAGAAGGUCAAAACAUGGCUGUCCAAAGAAUGGGAUGCUUGCCAAAACAUCAAUCUGUGCUGAGUGCCAUACUCAUUAUCCUUCCAGUGGUGGAUUACAACUCGGGUCUCCUCAGGAGGUGACUGAUGUGGAACAAACUGUACGACUGUCUUUGCUGUUUGGAUACGUGUGUAAGUUAACGGGCUACUGGGAGAAGAUGAAGAGGCUUUUGCAGAAAAAUGAGGAUAUCAUGGGAAGUGCUGCUGCUAACCAUUUGGAUUAUAUUGCUGUCUGACACAGAAGUUCUGCAGAUUACGUAAGGAACUCUCCAGAUCUUUUUUGUUAUGUGAUUGCUGAAGCAUUUUCCUGGCACAGCAGUAAUGAUUGAUGAACACACUUCAGGUAGGAAACCAGAUAUAUUCCAUUUGGUACAGUUGUUCAUUAACUUUCCUCACAUUGUUUUGGUUAAGUUUCAGUAGAAUCAGUCUUCAACAUUACAGCAUCAAAAUUCACUGAAUAUAAAAUAUAAAUAAUCUCUUGUCCACAUGAAUGUUUGCAUAUGUCUCUCUGUAAAUCAUCACGAACGGGUUUUUGGUUUUCCUCCCAGGUUUGGUAACUUUGACAACAGAUGACGUUACAUGUUAAAUUGGGUUUUAAUGAUCGAAAGAUUAUUGUAAAAUACAGUCUGUCACUACUAAUUCUUCUAUCAACCCACCUGCUCCUUCAGGAAUUAGUUCCAUCUACUUUAACUUAUACCAGAUUGGAACAUCUAUUCCAGAAGGCUUUACUUCUCUUAAGCCACACUUUCUCUGCUGAAAAAUAAAAUUUUGAUGUUGACCCCUUACUAAACUUUUUACCAGCUAGGCUGCUCAUAGUUUUCUAAAAAUAUCACCAUAAAGAGGGAAGCAAUAAAUUUUUUUGCGUAUCUGUAGUGAAUUCCAAUCUGCCCCACUGGGGAGAUACUGGAUCCAGCAAAUUCUUUUCUACUAGCCCUUGUGAUUCAAUUCUGGUCACACAGAUUUUGCACAAAGACCUGUAGUGGUCAUGACUUGCUUGAUGAAGGUUCCUAGUCUUGAUGAAGGUUUCUAGUCUUUCUGCUCAUAUCUCAACUUUUAAAAUAGACUUCAUAAAAUGCAUUUUUUUCUGAACAAAUGAAUUUCUAUAAAAGAUCUGUUUCCAUUAAAACCACCAAGAAUGUAAUGUAAAUAGAGUGGAAAGAUAUGUGCCAGUACUGUAUUUUAGCAUAAAGCUGCAAGAUUUUUGCUCAGUCUUGCUAUGUACAAAAGUUAUGUGAUACUGAUAAACUAUAAGAUUAUCAGUAAUAUGUAGUUAUCCUCUGCAAUUGAUUAGAAUUGUGGGUACAAAUGAGCUGGCUACUGUUAUAGUCUUUAUUGUUGCUACAGUAUAAAAGAAUUUCCUUCAUUUACUAUUGAAUUUAAUUUUGCGUUAGCAGUUACAGCUGUAGGCCUGAAUAUAAGGGCAGUUUCUGAAUAUCUUGAGUGGCUUUAAUACCUGUUCUUCGAGGUUGUGCCAAUCCAGGGAAUAGUGUUCAAAUUGUUGAUACUCUUGGAAGUUAACCCAAGCUCUUUAAAGCCCACCCAAAGGCAAGCAAGUAACAUUGGUUUUGAUUCAAUAAAUCAAAUUCAUUUUGCUCUGUCACACUCUUCCUGGGAGGCCAAGGAACUCCCAGUCCUCACAUCAGCGGGAAGUGCCUGGGUACCUAUGUGCUUGCAUUCCUAAUGAAGAAAAUUAGGAGGAUGAUGCACAAAAAAGUACUCUGGGAAAAACUCCUGGGCCCAGGGGUGCGUUGAGCCCUCUGUUCAUGUGGGCCUUGUUAUACUGGUAGCAUAGAGCUGCUGGAAAGUUGCUGCACAGAGUUGCCAACAUACAUUUCAGCUGAAGCAAAAAAGUGGUGUCUGAGUACAUGCCUUUAUUUCUGGUGUCCAGUUGUCCUCUUUUUUUUUUCUUCUUCCUUUUCAAGAGUACUGUGGAGAUAAGCAUGGCAAAGACUCCACUAUGUCCAUGUGGGACCCAGAUGUUUACUUUGCCUUCAGAUAAGGAUACAAAAUACACAAAUGGACGACCUUGGGGUGUUACUUUGUUCUGCAACUGCUCUGGGUUCUAAGAGCAUAAACACAACAAACACAGUGUCAUUGUUGGUUAGAUUGAGGAUACAGUUUAAGUCUAAACCUUAUAAGGCAUAGCAGACAACUGUCCUAGAUAGAGUGGCUGGUAUCUGAUGCCAGGGGAGAAGAAGGGUGCAAAACCAGCAUGUGGUUGCUUUCCAUCUCAACUGCUCAUAGUCUGCAGAUGAAGGACCUCUGUGUUGAGUAGCCUUGAGUAUAAUUUUCCCAUUCCAUGAAUUUUUUUGAGCUAUGUUAUCCCAGGUGAUUUCUGGGCUUUGUGAUUCUGCGCCAUUCAGAAUUCCCCAACUGAAUGCAAUGCUGUGAGGGAGAGAGCCCUCCUUGUCUAUGUCUUAGACCUCCUGCUUGCUGAUGUCACUUAAUCUGGAGACUAGGAUAAUGUGCCAGGAGAUCCAGGAGUUGCACAGUGCCUUUUCUGCUCUAGUGGGAUAGUGGAAAUGGAGGGUGGCUGCUAAGCUUUAAAGACAGUAUUUUUUUAAAGAGUUAUGAAGUGAAAUGAAACUGAAGGAUUUCUGUGACUCUGAUUACUGUCACCUUCAAAAUAUAUGGAUUUGAAGCAACUUUUCACAUCUGCCUUGCCUUCAUCUUUGAGCUCAUUUUCCAUGCUUUUAAUUAAUACAUAUAGUAUCAUUAUUUUACACGGAGAUCAAGUAAUUUGGACUUGUGUCCAUUUUGUUCCACUCCUCUGAAUUUCAGAAAUAAAAGAAGGUGCUUAGUCUCCCAAGCUGUGAGGCACUUAUCCUGGCAGGUUUUUUUUUCUGAUAGAAUUCAAGAUUGCAUAGAAGAAACUACCUAAGUUGAAAUAUCAUAGGGACGCAGGCUCUGAAUUAAGCCUUCCAGCAAGGCAUUGAAACAUAGGACUAUUAAUCAAAAUAUAUUUACAUAUUACAUAUAAAAAUAAAAAGAUAUAUAUAUCCUUCAAAACACUGCUGUUAACUUCACAGGAAUUUAGGUGGGUUUUAAAAAAAAGAAAAGUAUUUAAUAGCGUAUUUGCUGCAGAAUCAUUGUGUUGAAGACCUGACUCCAUGUGUUGCAACUACUACAUCAAGGCUAUAAAAGGAAGCGUGUACAUUGUAUAAAUUUACCUGACUUGGUUAGAUGGUGUGUCACAAAAAUAUACUGAGCAGUAUAUAUAAUAUUAACUACUGCAGUAGAAUUGUCAAACAGAAGGCUGUGGCUUCUGUACUGAAGAUGAUUCUCUUUAGAAUAAAACCCUUAGAUGUAUUAAGAAUUGAAUACAGAUUAUUACAGUUUUAAGAGUAAAGGCUUUUAAAAUUAUGGAAAAGCAGACAGAACCAAAAAAAAAAAAAAAAAAAAGAAAACAACUCUUAGCUAAAAUCUAGUUGAAGGCUAAUAAUUUUAUUAUACUGAUUCUCCUUGUUGGCAAAUAAUAUUCUGGAGAAAAAAUUAUUGCAGCUAGGUGAAAGUUGAGUUUAUUUUUGCUCUCACUUUUUUGGUUUUCUUCCAAUUGCAGUGAAGGUCUUGGACUUGCUAUUUGAUCCUGAUUACAGAGCCAACUUAACAUUGUACAUGUAUUUUUCAUCCAGACUGCCCUCAUUUUUCCUUCUGUGCUUGUAUUUGGGAAAGAAAAUAAUAAGACAGCUCUUAGGAAGGGUCACCUUAUUGUCCAGGGCUUUCAUCUGAAUCCUUCUAAGAUAGAAAGCAAGUUGGGUGCAGCAUAUCACUUAAGGAUUUUUCAUUUGAGGACAACUCCCUUGCCUUUGUUCUGAUGGCUCAUGCAAAAGCACACGAAAGGUUGCUAAGACAUCUUUCUCAGUCAAAGAAAUCAACUGGACACCUUGUUCCUCAAGUCCCCAGAAAAUGGGUGGGCGUUUGCCUUUGAAUCCCUUCUGGGAAGCUGCUGGAUGCUGAAUUUGCCCAUGGCAAGACCAGCUGUUUAAUGGAGAACAAACAGAAUAAAACUCAAAUGGCAGGCCUUGCAAGACUGAACUGUGGCUGGAGCGAGUGCUUACUGUUUUAAGUAUUCAAAAAGGCAGGCUGGUAAGAAAGACAGCAAAUGCCCUGUGCUUGCCUAUGCAGGAAGGAGUGGUUGAGAAUGUGUGGAAGAGGAGAAAGUGAACUGGCCAAUUUGAUUAGACUAAAGAGAAUAAGGCUUAGCCACAGAUCAUUUGAAUGCAUGUGAAUAUGCAGAGGUAGAUUGUUUCUUGACGGAAACUUGUAACAAAUUGAAAAUACAGAGCUGAGGUUUUCUUUUAAUUUUUCUUUUUUGUAACAGGAUAUAACUGACUGUAAACUUUGGCAAGACUCGAAUACCUGAAUGGCUCUUGAAACUCUGUUAGUGUUCUUCUAAAAUUGAUUCUAGAACAGGGCUAAAUUAGAAACUUUUCUAUAUUCUUCUUCAUGUUAAUUAGAUGAAACAGAAAGUUUUAUACUUGUUCAGAAAGAGGUCAAAGCAAGCAACAAAUUGAGCAUAGGAGAGCCAAACAAGGAUAAGUAAUGAACCAGUUUCUCAAACUGGCAAACUAGGAGUUUGAAAAAAGUAUACUUGCAGGCUUCCUAUAUUAUUAUAACCUCUUGAACAGAAUAAUCCAGUCCAAACAGCUAUAAAUGCUUUCCAAUAGAGAAGUUUAUGACCUAGUUUCAGACUGAAAUGCUCACAGUAUUGCAGUGUGUGGAAGAACUUAAAAGAAGAUGCUAGUGGCAAUGCCUUUGGAGCAACUCUGUGUAUUUAGGCAUUCCUGCCCUUUGCAAAUACUUGCUAAGUGGAGUCAAGUGGAGUCAACUUCCAAAGCAUGGCGCUUUUUUCUUCAGCAGGAGACUUCAUAAUUUAAAUACCUGGGUUGACAUGGGGAGUUUUCAUAGGAUGUCUGAUUUUUAUUUUUUAAACAUAGCACUAUUUGGAAAAAUAAUCAUUCUUCCAGUUAUUUCAACAGGAAUUCAGCAAUUACAGAAUGCCUCUCUACAUCCUGUGGUCCUCUGGAGCAGCGAAGCAGGAAAAGGUGGAUUUCAUCUGUUGAUGAUUCUUCUGUAGUGAGAUGAGGAAAGCUUUGAUUAGGCUUCAUUUGAUUCAUGAUCCUUCUGCAAGCAAGUUCAAGGGAAUGUGCUGAGGGGACUAGGAGCCACAGAGCAGUGAGGAUUUAUGCAUCUGGAAUAGAACUAUGAAUGGGAUUGCAGGAUUUACAUGGAGGACUCUGAAAUCCCUCACUUCCUGCUCCAGGAAGGGGGCCUGCUUUGUGACCUGGGGUACAAUCUAUGUCUGCUACUGAAGCUAUCUUGACUGGCAUGAGAAAUGUAAGAAUUUUGAAGAAACUUGGCCUGACAAAUAUCUGUUUGCACAUUUGGAUUUAUGAAAACUUCUGAUCACUCUGUGUCAUGGUCCCCUUCUGUAACAUAACAGGUAUACAAUGAUAUCUUUGACUUCAUCUCAUAAAGAUGAUGUGAAAAUAAAUCAUAUAAUCUUUGCAAUGCCUUUUGGUACUGCUGUGAUGAGCACUGUAAGAAAACCCACAAGCAAAUGAAUAAUUCAUUGUUUAAAUCAGGCUCUGAAUAGUACACAGUAAACAAGUCUUUCAUACUGAAUCGUAAAAGUAAGGCCAAAUAAUUAAUAAUUACUUAUUCAAUUAUCACUGUCCAUUCAGAGUACUGAUGAAGAAGAUGGGAAUCCCUGUGGAAAGACCAUAGUCAUGUCUUAAGGAUGGAGUAUUGUACGACUGGAAAUGAUAAUGUUGAUAGUUUGUUUUUUCUUUCUUUAUCUAAGACACCUUUGGUAUUAGUUAUGAUGUGUACUUUGGAUUAAAGAUGAAGUGUGUUAUUCUUUCUAAAUUGCUUGAAUUUAGUCUGCAGGUCUCCUUAUAGACCUUCACUUCUGUUUUCAGAAUUUCCUGUCUUGCCAUGAAUCCUUUUGCUAAUGGUGUUUAAGCAUCAAAAGAAGAGUAUAACACCAUCUCUGAUCAUUGCAGAAAAAUUCCUGAAUAUAAUUUUAAGAUUGAAUUUUAUCUCUUGAUAAUAAUUGCUCUUAAGAAAAAACUAAUAGAAGAGGAGAGUUAAACUCUUCUGCUGAGUAUCAGCUGGAUGACGAGAAAUUCUUUUUGGUAGAAUCACAGGUACAGGAAUAGCUUGUUCCAGUUUUCAACCUUGUGACCUUCCUUCAGAUAACUCUGAAUGUUCAGAUUUUAAGACUGAAAAAGAAAACAGAGAGGUAUUUGAAGCUCCACUACACAAAAAUGUCAAUAAUUCAGACUGACUGAUAGCUUCUCUAAUAACUAAAGUCACCUGCAAUUUUUUAUAGUCCUAGAGCAUAAGCCAUCUAUAACAUAUAAUCAGUUCCACUGUGAAGAUGGAACUGAUGUUUAUUUUUUCCUAUACAUUCCCUCCCUACUUCCUAAGGUGAAUUUUUAAAAAUCAAUUCACAUAAUUUGAUCAAUUUAAAAUACUGAAUACACUGAGGUAAUUAUAGCAAAGUUCUUGCAUCUUAUUGUGUCCAGUUACAGUAAGGCUACUUACUGACAGUGCAGCAUUAAAGAUAAACCAGCAUUUACAUGAAAACAGUCAUAAUUUACGUCUGCCAUUUUUAAGUAAGUCCUUUUAACUGAUUUUGAAGUAGUCUUUGCAAAGUGGUGAUUUAUAUUUUAAAAAUGAGGGCUUCAUCUCUUUCUCUGAAAAUGAUGCUUGAAAUCCGUAGGAGAGUGAAACAAGCAAUUUCAGUCACUAAAGAUAAGGUCUGUGUUUUUUAAAUAAAAGAGAGUGAAAGAGCUGUUGUUCUAAUUUAGCAAAAUUGUGUCAGCUCAGUUUUCUAUUUAUUUAUGGUAAAAUUCUGUUUCCAGAUUUUGAAUGCACAUAUUUAACAAGAUAUGGUCAGUCAGUAUGGUGGUGAUUAGUCCAAAAUUUGAUCAGGUUGUCACUUGACGCUCACUGGGCACUUUCAUAAAGGCCUUCAUUGAGAGAUCAUGAUCAGUACAAAGGCAUUUAAUGAAUAUUCCAUAACUGGGAAAAAGCCUCUUAAGGUCUAGAAUUUCAGAAAUACUGAAGUUUAAACAUAUAAAAAUAUCUUUGGGCCAACUGUUACUGUCACGUUCAGGUGCAGACAAUUUUAUAGCUUUUUCUUGAGAUUGCUACCCCCUAAUGAAUUUGUUGACAUUCCUAGUGAAAUUUGUAAGUAUAUUCUAUUCAUUUCAUAUUUAAAAGUAUAUUUUCUACUUAGAUAAAUAUUAAUGUAAGCCACACACAUAUUUAAAACAAUUUGGAAUGAUCAUAUACUCAUGUAGAUAAUGUAGAUAUACCUUAAGAAUGUUUUAUUUUUGUAUGAAAUUCCUGAAUUUUGAUUCACUACUGUAGAAGACUUCAUGAAACUCACAAGAGCCGAGUGUUCUUGGACAUUUGUGCUCUACCACUCUCAAUGUUCUUUUCUUCUUUGACUUAACAAUUUCUGUGCAAGAUCACUGUUCAAAUAUAUCCUAGAGGCAAGCACAGCUCUUGUUGAUUUAAUAUUGCAAUAAGUAUGAUAAAUAGCAGCUAUGGCAUACUAUUGUUUUCAAACGUGGUUUGGUUUUGUUUUUAAAGCAAACAGAUCUGUUUGAGACUUCUGGAACAAUCUGAAAAAAAAAAAAAACACUGGUACUUAAGAAUAGGAAGGCAAAUUUCAAUGAAAAGCUCUGCUAGAACAUUCAAGUGAUUGGAAGGAAAUAACGGAUCCAAUACAAAAGGACACAUCUGCAUUUUAGAAUUGUGGAGAAAUUGGAGCCUUAAGUACAAAAGGAAGCAGAUAAAUGUUUUGGAAGAAGGAGAAUUUCCUUCCCGGAUUCUAAAGCUGGCAAAGAUCAGUAAUCACACUUCUAUUAUUUUCUACAUCAGAGUAGGUAAUCUGUUAUAUUCUGCAUCAGUAUAAACUUAAAAAUGAUGGAUACAUAUUUCCAAAAGGUACCAAAUGUACCAAAUUAUUACAGAUUAUUAGAGAUGGUUGUUAGAUGCCAAUAUUUACUUCUUCCUCUGUCAACGUUUUCUUAGGAACUUAAGUAAUUUGAAAUCAGAGUUAGAAUAGAAUACAUAGCUGAGUUGACCUACAGAGGUCCUUAAGUUGAACUGCUGGACUGCUUUGGGGCUCAUACAAGGUUAAUCACAGACAGGCACGGGACAUCAACCACCUCACUAGGAAGCCUGUUCCAGUUUCUGAUCACCUUCAUGAUACACAGAUGUUUUCAGGCCCAGUCUGACCUUUCUCUGGUACAGCAUUAUGUUGUGUUCUCAUCCUGCCAUUGGUGACCAGGAGCAGAGCCUGGCAUCUCCCUCUGCUCCCCCUCCUCAGGGAGCUGCAGAGAGCAAUGAGGUAAUCUCUGGGCCUCCUCUUCUCCAAACUGGACAACCUAAGUUUUCUCCAGCCCUGCUACCAGCUUUCAUUCCUCCUCUGGACUCUUUCAAGGACCUUAAUACCUUUUUCAUUUUGUGGAACCUAGAACUCCAUACAAAAUUCAAGGCAGUGUCUCACCACAGCUAAAUACAAUCACCUCUUUUGACUGGCUGCUUGUGCUGUGCUUAAUGGCAACCCAAAAUGGGGUUUUCCCCUUGGCUGCCAGGACAUGCUGCUGACUCUUGCUGACUCUUGCUGAGCCUUCUUUUGGCCAGCGCUCCCAAAACCCUAUCUGCUGAGCUGGUCUCCAGCCACUAAUCUCCCAGUCUAUCUGUGUGUCUGGCACUGCUCCAUUCCAGGUGCUGCACCCAACAUUUUCCUUUCUUGAAUUUCAUGUCAUUGCUGAUGGCCCAGUGCUCCAACAUAUUCAGAUGCUUCUACCUUGCUGAUUAGCAUUAUCAGCAAGUUUGUUUAGGUUGUGUUCCACUCCUGCAUACAGAUCAUUGAUAAAAAUUUUGAACAGUACUGGUACUAGAACUGAGUGAGCCCUGGGGAACACCACUGGUGGCUGACCACUGGCCAGAUGUAGUCCCACUCACUAUGACUCCUCAAACUUUUUGUUCAAGCCAGUUCACAGUGAGUCCAAUACUUCAUCAAUCUCACAGCCAAGGAUAGAGUUCAAGGUUGGAGCAAAAAGUGUGAGGGUAUUUGAAACAACUUAUGGCCAGUGAUCUUAACAGACCAAAUGCCGGGUCCUACAUUUUGGUCUCAACAAGCCCAUGCAUCGCUACAGGCUUGGGGCAGAGUAGCUGGCAGGCUGCAUAGAGAAAAAAGAUGUUAGUUGACAGGCAGCUGAAUAUGAGCCAGCAGUGCGCCUAGGUGGCCAAGGUCAGUGGCAUCCUGGUUUGUAUCAGAAUAGUGUAGUCAGCAUCACUAGGAAGGUGAUCGUCCCUCUCCACUGGUAAAGCUGCACCUCAAGUACAGUGUUCUGUUUUGGGCCCCUCACUAGAAGAAAGACACCAAGGCCCUGGAGUAUGUCCAAAGAAGGGCAACAAAGCUGAUAACGGGUUUGAAACGCAGUCUUAUGAAGAGUGUCUGAAAAAAACUGGGAUUCUUUAGUCUAGGGAAGAGGAGGCUUGGGAGACCUCACUGCAUUCUACUCUACCUGAAAAGAAGUUGUAGUGAGCUAGAAGUUCGCCUAUUUUCCCAGGUACCUAGUGAUAGGACAAGAGGUAAUGGCCACAAGUUGAGCCAGGGAAGGUUCAAGUUGGAUAGUAGGAAACAUUUCUCAAGAGUGGUGAAGUAUUGGAACAGGCUGCGUGAAGGUUUUCAAGAAAAGGAUAGAUGUGGCAAUGAGAGACAUGGUUUAGUGGGCACAGGUGAUAGGUUGAUGGUUGGACUAGAUAAUCUGUGUGAUUUGUUCCAACUUUGAUGAUUCUAUGAUUCUGCAAUUCUUUGAUGAUAUCUGAAACUUAGAGGCAGAAGGCCUGAAGCAGUGCAUGCACCUUUCUCUUGUGAUGCAAGUAAAGACCUGAGUUAUGAACUGUGGACUUGGAGUUCUUUACGUAUUUACCCAGGGAUCUCAAAUCAUAUUAUAACGAAUGAAAUAAUCUUGAUCGCAAUGUGGAAGGUACCUGUAAGUACUAUGUACUUGUCUUAGGCAUGUAUGAGUGGAAAUAUAAAUCAGUCUGGCUUGUACUACAUGCAACAGUAAUAUCAAGAACAGAAAGAAAAUGUAUCUUUUCCACUCUUAUUCUGCUGAUCCAAGAGUGUAAGAAAGUUCACUCAUGCUUGCAGAAUUCUGCCUGCUGUCAACAGCACUUCUAAGAUGCGUCUUUAGCCUGCUUUCCAAUGAGAACAAGACAUUUUCUUGUUUUCCUCAUGCUCUUCAUCUCUUCAUUCUAAUAUUUCAUGGUCUUGGCUAAUUACUGGAGAGUUGGGCACAGCUGUAAGUGGAAACCCUAAAACUGUGAUAAAAUUGGUGACUGUCUUGAGGAAGAAGAUAAAUCAGUCCUUUCUGAGGGUCACAUGAGCUUACCUGGCCUCUAUUCUGUUUGAUCUGGGAGCUUGACAGCUAAGGACUUGCCAGAGCAGGGACUGUGCCUGUGCCCAGCCUCUGUGAAACAAGAUCACUGGGGAGACAUGGUAAUGUUAAGGUGGCCAGGAAUAAUAAUUAGCUAUACAAAUGGAAGGAAACUUCAAUUUUACUACUAAUACUGUUUACAGAAGAACUUGGAACUACUUUUCUGUCUCUAAUUAUACUGCUAGACUGUUUGGAAUUACAUUGUUAUAGUUUUCAUCAGCUGAUGAGUGAAAACUCCCAGAUUUUAUUUCCAUCCAUAUUGCUGAUAAAAGCAGAGAAUUAUUUACAGUAUUGAAGUUGAAGGCCACUGAAGAAAAUGUUUCUUUCAAUAAAUAAAUUGCAGCAUCUCAUACUCCAAGAGGUUUUUGUUUUUGUUUUAAUCUUCUAAGUAAAUGUCCUUUUCAGGGUUGGACAUUUUAAAUGAAUUUUUGUAUGGAUUUAGAAUUUUUGUUCUUUCUGCUAAGAAUCACAUAUGAAAUGUGUGAGGAAUGUGCACGACCAUGUCUGACUAAUUUUGUUCUUCAUGGGAGCACAGGAAGUAACUAUUUGGUGUAGAAAGAAAUCAGAACUGCAGAUCAGAAACAUCUCCCAGUCCAUUUGGAAAAAUAAAAUCCAGACUGUCCUCCUUCCACCCCUGCUGAAAAUAUGCUAACUUGGAUGUUCUUCAGUCUAAGCAAGCUCUCAAGGUCAUCAGAGUAAUUUUUCAAAGCCUUGCUGCCUCAGUAUUCUUACAGAUAAUAGCAUCAAGCACGUUAUCUCCUACUCUUCAAUUUUACUUUGGCUUCCUGAAAUUUACAUCCCAUUGUCCACUCAUAUUUUCUGCAUUCUUUUGGAAUAAAUCAAAUAGCACUUCUUAUGUUGGCUCUGGACUUAAUAAAAUUCAGACAUGCAGCAGUUGGGAUUUUUAAAAUAACACGUUUUAAUACAAAGAUGUGAGAUAUCUUUUGAAAUCUGUGGUGGAUGUUUGUUUCCUGCUGGGCUUAAUUUAGGAAUCCAGUGCUAGCAUUAAACCAAGGGGAAAAAUAUUUGUUCUUUCAUCUGUGUGCCACAUCCCAUCUGAAAUCACAAACAGCUUCUUUAAAUUUCUGGUCUUCAUCCCCAGCUGGAUGUACAUAACGCUCAUGCCUGUCUGAUGCAUGAGACAUAUAGAGCCUUAAAAAAAAAAAAAAAAAAAAAAAAGUUAAGCUAUUCUUAUUCUUCUCGUCUUAGACCUCAUAAUCAUCUGCAGUUUGGGAGAAGGUGUAGCUCUUUCAUUUUCUAAAGAAACCUCUUCUUAUCAAACCGAAACUCCUGAUUUUGUUAGAAAACAAUAUGCAGGUAAUAAUGCUUUGACAAUAUAUAACUUCUUUGUAGAAGGGGAUCCUUUCCCUUCUUUUAAUAUUUUCUUUGAAUAUAGAAGAAAGUAUCUUCAGAUGUUUCAAGGACAAAAUUUAGGAGUGUUAAACCCGAAUGUGAAUCUCUGUAUUCAGCACCUGCUCCUGUAGUUCUCAUAACCUGUACCAUACACCUUGUAGAAGGACUUCUGGUUUUGUGCAAGCUUGUGUGGGUUCAGCUGUUCACCUGCUUAGAUCCCAUCGAACAGCUAGGAAAGCCUUUCCUUUUCGUUUGGAAAAGGUCCAACUUUGUUCAAAAAUCAUCUUGGGCCCAUUGUGCUAUAAUAUAGAUUAGACAUGAAAAGGGUAUGUUAAAAAAUGUUAUUAAAUUGUAAAAUGAAACACUGAAAAGUUGGAUGCUAGAAUCAGUGCUGGCCCCGUAAUCUCAGUUGGUACCUUGCAGGUAUGACUUAUGAUACAGAUUUUAGCUGUAGAUUUGAAUCUUUUCUCUGUAGUUUCUCUGCCUCAUUUACAUGUGUCACCUUCUAACCUCUCCCUCCCUCAAAUGGAGAGCAGUCUUUAAACUGAUGAGUUAUUUGAUGUUUUGUUUUCUCUUUAUUUGGUGCAUGAGGAAAUUACAGUUACUGAAUGCUGUUCCAGCCCUGAUAUGAGGGCAAAAUAAUUAAUUUUUCCUGCAGUUCUCUGUGGUAAUUGGCCAGCUGUGGAACAGAGAUCCUGUGUGAUGUGACAAUGACAUUUUAGUUGUGAUUGCAAGGAAAACCAUGCAGAUUUAGAGAGUUUAGAUAUUGAAAUUUAAGUUAUUUUUAUAAGGUAUUUGUGCAGAUUAUUAUUUUCUGCUGGCUAAAGAGAUCUGGGAAAAUUCUGAGUAAACAAGAGGGUGUGUUCAUGACACGACAGACCUUUCAUUGAUACAUUGCCAGUUCCUGCUCCGAAGCAAGUGUGAUCUAAAACUUCCCAAGGGAAAAGCCAUUAGGAUUUAAUACAGCAUACUCUUCAAUUCAUUUGUUUGCGAAAACUAGAGUUCAUGUUUAUAUGAAAGGAAAAUUUCAGCCUAAACAGUUUAAUUUUGCUGGAAAUGGAGUCUGUAGCUAAAAAUAUCUGGCCCACUUCCUCAUUGGAUAUGCUGCUUAGAUUAUUUAAGUAUUGGUUUUGUGCAAGGCUGAAAAAUUCCGUUAACACCCUGACUUAUUUACUUUUUUCAAAAUAGCAUGUUGUUAGCAUGUUAAAAAUGUUCCACAUGUAGUGGACAAUAGCCAGCUGUGCUGUCCCAGUAAGAGUAUGGCAGCUACAACCAUCAGUUGGGAUGGGAUGGGAUAGAAGGUAAUGAGGCUGUGCUUUGAACCUAACUUGGAUGUGCUCGCUACUGAGCUAUCUGUCUGCGUGCAAGGAUUUAUGGACAUGCGUCUGUUCUUAAUUGCCUUCUGUAAUUCAUCUGCAUGUGUCCUAUAUAAGCUUUUUUAGGGUGCCCAGCAACAGAAAGAAAAUUAAAAUUAUUCUACAGCAGAGAGUUCAUUUUUAAAAUGACUUUGUUUACUCAGUGGUCUUCAAAGCUAGCCUUGUCCAUAGUGAUUUAAUGUUUUUUUCUCAACUCUCUUCAAAGACCCUAGACUUUGGCUAACACUGAAUAUAAAAAAUAAAUAAAUGAAUGAAUAUUUUGUUAGAGAAAAUAUUGACCUUUCUUGAGCUUGGUCUUGCAAAAGCAAGCUUUGGUAUCAAUCUUUAGCUAAUUGACUGGAAAGGAAUCUUUAGCUAAAGCUGGAAAGGAACUAGUGUGGUUGAGCCAUUGUAUGACUAUGAGAGGAGAGAGCACAUCCCAUCUACAACAAGGAGAGGGAGAGUUGUCUUUUUGCAGUCUCUUUGAUAAGUUAAAGAAAUACAACAGAGCAGGGAAAAUUCAGUUUGAGUACAAGUAUAUGACAGAAUGAACUAAGUAAUGAUCUCAGUGACAUGGCACUGUAUCUGCCAGAACAUUCUGCUGAUCUCAUGUUGAUAUGUUCACCAUUUAUGUGAAGAUGUGAUUUCUCAUGAUGAUAGUGAAUCUCAUGUAGACAGUAUUUCACCUAUUCAGAUCCUAAUGUAAGCAUCAUGAAUGAGCUAUUCAAUAAUCAGUUCUCUUUCUUAUCAGAGCAGUAAGUUGUCACAAAGUUAAAUUGCCAAAUGAUGAGUUAUCAUCAGUAUACUAUCUCCACUAUGGUGUACAGUUAGCCAGCUUUGCUACUGUCAAUAAGAUAAUGUCUGAAAAUUGAGCUAAAGUUGGACACAGGAUAACUCAGGAACAUGAAGAUGACCUCUGUUUAUUUACAAAAAUAUAAACUGAUCUAUCUUAAAAAAAGCAAAAAACAACAACAGCAAAAAACAUUUUCUGUUACUGUCUUUUGAUGUAUUUUGAUGUAUCUGUUCAAUCAAAACAGUCUUUUUGAUUUUGUUCUAUUUUCUUCUUCUUUUCUUCUUCAAGAAGAAAAUCUUGUAGGCUUGGGGUAAACCUUUCAAAAAUGACAAAUUGAUUAAAGACCUUAAGAACCAAUAUUUUGUACAGUGUUUAGUCAGCGAAAUCUCCUUUGCUUCAUCCCAGACAGACAAAUGUUUCUGAGCACACUGUGGUUCUGAAGGAAGGUCUUAAAAGCUAAAAUGUUUUGGGAAUUUUGAAAAUGCUACCUUCAAGAUUUGCUGCUCUAAUGGCAGCAAAUUUUAGGCAGUGAGAACAAGAUAAUGUAGUCCUGGCUGUGUUCACAUGUACAUUCAUUUAGUUUAGUUGGAGGACAGGAAAUGAGUGGCUAAGUACAGGGAAAGACAAUGUAGACAUUUUUCCCUGAUACAAUCUUCCAUUUUUUUCUUAUACCUUGUGAAUUAUCAAAGUACGUACUGUGAACUACAUCUGGCAUUAUUGUGCAAUAGAGCUUCAGUGUCCUGUGCAAUACAGCUUCAGUGUCCUGUAUUUUGGAAAAAAUAUUGGUGUGUGCAUGGUUCCAGUAGUUAUUUUUACUACAGCAUUUCCUACACUUAGAAUGGGAUACUCACAGGCAAACUUAGCUCAUGUGCAUGAAAAAUACUUUGUUUUUCAUGAGCGCAGACUACAACUUUGUUCAUACCUGACUUUUUUUUUUUUUUUUUGUAUUACACGUUUUCUUAACUUAAAAAAAAGCUGUGAAUUCUUAGUGUCAGUUUCUCAAAUGGUGGUAUUUUGUCCUAGUAAGGUACUUUCUUUUUUUUGUGGGCUAACGGUUGUUGUUAUGACGUAUAUUCUCUCUCCCAAAACUUUACUGCUCAUUCCUUUGAUGUGUCUUAUAAAAGUCCGAAGAGAGACAAGAACAUACUUGACUCUCAUGUAGCUAUACAUAAAGCCAAAUUUGACCAAAAUGAAACUAGCAGUAACUGCGCUUCUUUAUUUUAAUGUGAUAUUUACAUAAUACAUUAGGAUAUUUUGCUAACAUUUCAGAUAUUUCAGUUUCUCCUCAUCACUGUUACUCUUAAAACUGUUUUUGUAGAUUGUGCACCAGUAAACAGAAAAGGCAUCAAACUUUCAAAUGCAAUCUAUACAGCGGGAAUAUUUUUCUAUUAUGUUUCAACAGAAGAAAAAAAAUUGGCUUACAGCCCCUUAUUUUCUUUACAAGUACAAAUAUAGUUCAUGCUCAUGUUUUGUCUGCAGUGAAAUAAUCCAAACUGUAUAGUUCAAAUGCACAAGCUGCCCCCAUAUGUCCCUUUGAUACUUGCUAGCUGCUACUUUGUGUUAAGUUGGUAUCCAGAUUGACUGAAAUAAUUAAUAAGGCCCAUACAUAACUACUGGUACAAAAUAAGGAAACUUGAACGUGUGUUUUCAUGGACCUGUAACAAAACCUCACAGCAAGAUAGAGACAGUGUGCAGAGUUCACUAGUCAGCAGUGCUGAGGUCCAGAUUCUCAUGCCCAUGAGCAGAGACUUUGUUGGAUGACAGAUGAACCUGGAGGUACAUACUCUAUAGGAGAUGGGAAAACUUAGCAAUACGUGUAGGUCAGCUUUGCUCUGGGGCUAAAGCCAGGCUCUUGGAAGAGCCGUGCGUUCAUGGGCAUAGGGGAAAUUUUACACCAAGCCACAUUUCCUCUGUUCUCAAGGUAUUUUUUUGGCAGGCUACAGCAAAAUAGCUUAAACUUGGGUAUGGAUAAAUUCAGAAAGCUUUUACUUCAAAGCAGUCUAUAAGUGAAAAAGAAUACUGUAGAGCUGAAAAACUGAAUACUCUGCUGAAAAUUACUAAGACCUUCAGGAACAAUGCUGAAUGUGUGUGUAACUUAUAAAUGACUUUUCAGCUGAACAGAAUUGUGUAGCUGAAGUAAACCACUGUUUUCUAGGUGAAAUGGUAGGUGAUAUUUCUUCCCGCCUAUCAGAACUGAAAAAAGUAGUGCAUCUUAAGUUAUAGUUGAGGAACGAUAUGCAACUUCUCUGGUUUCCUUAAAAAGGAAAGGGUAGGAAUCAGAAAUGACUCUGCUUAUCUAGAACGAUUAAGUCCAAUCCUCUUAACUACACUUUAACUUGAUUCAGUCAGUCCCAUUCUUUUCUGCAUCAACGUGCUCUGCUAUCGGCCUUCAAGCAGAUUUUUAAAAAAGGUUCUACAAAACAUUGUCGUUUAUUCAUUAACAAUAAUUCUUUGAAUCCUUUUCUUUUUGGCAUCUUUUUGUCCUUUGAAUUUAAAGAAAUUUAAGUAUAGAUAUCAAUAUAUUUAUUUAUAUAAGCAUUUUGCAUGAACAUUUUGGAGAAAUUUAAAUUAAUGGCCAAAACUUUGGUAUUCCUUCCUAAGAAUUCCAGAUGCUUUGGAUAUAAUGUGUUGCAAGAAUUACAAGUACCUAUGCUAUUUUGGUAUGUGCUUUGUAGGAUAUGAUAUUAGAGAAUAAAUGGAAGCCAUCUUGAGGCAUGCAGGAUGCAGAAUUAGUGUUGUUAUCGAAUAAAUUAAGUCUUUAGUUUUUGCAAACUUUUAGUCCUGUACCUUGUCUUCUUGGCACUUCUGAAGUCUUUGCUUUGAAAAUACAGAGACUGCAUAUUAGCAUAUAAUACAGAUUUCUGCUUAAAGUUGGUUUAAUGGUUGUUGUUUAUUUUUCUUCCCAUUGCUAUAAGUUUACUUUGUCUUGAACUCUAAAGCAUUGCUCAUUCUUUGUGUUCUUUCUGCCUUUUCAAUGGAAAAAAUAGGUUGAAAGACAAGAGAAGAAGUUGGCUGUCUCAAAAGAACAAAUAAGAAUUCUCUGACUAGCUUUAGAUUUUUUUACGUACCUGUGCGAACAGUAUUAUGAAGUAAACACAGAAAUAAAAAGUGAGAGAAUAAGCUAGCAAUGUAUUUUCAACUGAUACAAGUUAUUCUUCAGAUUUAGUCCAUUUAAACAGUUUCCUUAAAUGCUGGUGUAGUAUAGAAUGGUUGUUUAUAAGUAUGCACAUGUACUUAAACCCAAUAACUGUCAAGCAUUUGCAUGUUAAUGAAGUGUUACAGCUCUGAGCAGUGGCUAGCAAGCAGGAGCUGUGGCGAUAGGAUUUAUUUUAAGGAUCUCAAGUAAACUGCCAUUAAAUGUAAAUAGAGAAUACAGCUCCUGUUGACUAGCAGAGACACUAUUUGUUACGGACUCUUUUUUUUCUUUUCUUAUAUAUUAUAAGAAAAGUUAUAAUAUUAUAAUAUUAUAUUAUAUCUGUAUUCUUAGCAGAUACACAACAAAGUUCUUGCUGUCUCCAACCUUUUCAUUUUUUCACCAGAAUAAAUCUCUACUGAGGAUGUAAAUGAAUACCCUUCUUUCUCAAACAGACAGCAGAACUCAUACGGGAAUAAUUAAGUCUAAUACAGCUCUCUUAGUGUCAUCAACUGAAUGAAUCUUGGAUUCAAAGUCCCGGAUGAGUUCCUAAGCUUUUUAAAACUAAGCUUCUGGACUGAAAUCAUAUGAGUUUUAAAUUCUGUUUUCAUUGGAAGAUCAAAGAAAAUACAGUGACAUUAAUGUUUAUUUUUAUUUGUAUAUCUUCUGAAAGAAAUUUGUGUAUUUAAUAGCACGCAUUUUCUGGAUGAGAUAAGGAAGGGAAAGAGGGAUGGUUUAUUGGGCCUAUAUGAAGAGUUGUCUGUAGGGCUGGCAAAAUCUUCUAGAGUUUGCUUAUCCAUAUAUUUAUUCUACAGAAGAUUUUUUUUGUGUGACCUGAUAAUACUGAUUUGAGAUUUCCUCGUGGGCUGGAUUCUAGAUGGAUUGCUUGGUGUCAAUAUUUGUUUUAUUUUGUGCAAAUUUUGAAAGUGUGAAAUUUUUAAAAACUGUUGUGAAGAGCUUGACUUAUAGCCAUCUUGUAGGCCCAGGACCUGCUGUUACAGCCCUGAAGAUGUCCUGCCUCCUAGCUGAACAAGCUCUGAUCCCUCAGUUUCUCACAGUGCUCCAGCUCUCAGCCAUCUUGGCAGCCUUCCACUGACUUGCUCCUGCUUUUUGAUACCUGUGUUGGCUUGGAGAGUCCCAUAAUGGGCUAAGUUUGGAGCCUAAUGACUUCUGAGUAGAAGGGGAUAAUUACUUCCCUUUGCUGUGCUCUGGCUCAUCCAGCCCAGAAUGUUGUUUGCCUUCUCUGCAUCCAGAGCUCACUGUUGUCUUUUGCUCAACUUGUGGCCCACCAGGACACCCAGUCUUCCCACAGAGCUGUUCCCCACCCAACCUGUCCCAGCCUGUAUGGCUGCAAGAGUGCAGGGCUGUGCAUCUAUCCGUCCUGAAUUCAGUGAGGUUUCUGUUGCUCUGUCCCUCCAGCCAGUGUAGGGUCCUCUGGAUGGCACUUCUGCAUUUCUCCAGGCAAAAGGGAUCUCUGCUGAUUUCCAUGACUUUUCAAAGACCAUAGAGAGAAGUCAUGCUGUGAGAGCAACCACCUUUUUUUACAUCACUGGACAGGCUGUAGUAGGACUGCGUGCAGCAGUGCUGAAAUGAUGGCUGCUUCUGCUGCCCUGAGGAAGAUCAGAAGUGAAUUAUUGUUUGUUAAUUAAAGAAAAAGUUGAGAUCUCUUCUUGCUUGUUGAAGGUGGUGAGCCUAUGCAGCCAGGCUCCAUGAGGAGCAAGCUGUGCUCAGUCCUGGCUGCAGGCAGGUCCUCUGAUCAUUUCUGUGGGAACAAGCGUUGGAUCAGCAAAUGUGAUGUAUGUGAGAAUAACAACACACAAGUAUUGACAUUCUGGAAACCUGAGCUACUUCUGUGGUUGCAAACUGUCUGCCUUCAGCUGCAUGUCUUAAGUUGCACUCAAGGAAAAGAUCGAACAGAUCUCCUGCUCUGCCUUUUAAGCCUAUUGUUUGUAGGGAACUAAGAAGUGCUUUAAUGCAUGGCAUAUGAGAUAACACUGCUGUAGAGAUGCUGAUCAACCAGAGCUUAGUCCAGCCUCUCUGUUCUACUUACACUAAGUGCUAUGGCCAAAUGAUGCAUUUGUUAACUCUUUGCAAACUUAGGACAAGGAUUGCCAUUCUGGCAACUCCCAUAAAGGAGAAGACUCCUACAAAACUUGGGGAGUGGUAGUAUUAACAGUAUAAGUUUUAUUUCCCUAUCCCCUUUUUUUUCUGCCUUCCUUCAAAAAAUCCUAGCUCAUCGUAAUUAGUAAUGCUGUGCAAAAAGCUGUAUUAAUUCAGGCAAAAAGGAAGGGGAAAAACAUUACAGCACCAUUGCGUUCAACAUUAUUUUAAAUGUCAGACCAUAGAACCUGGUUGUCAAGAAUCAUCUUCUAGCAUGAGGCCAGGCCUACAAUCAGUGACAAUUGAACUUUAAAAUUGUGAAUCUACUGUCCCUUGAAUGUGGAUUUAACUCUUCUUGAUAUGUAGAUAAUGGCAAAAUUGUUCUUUAAUCUGUGAGCAGCAGCCAAAUUUCUUCCUCAUUGGCUACUUACUAGAUGGACUUCCUUUAAACCUUUUUGUUUUAUAUAAUUCCGGUCAUUUUUGUGUAUUGCGAUUUAAUUACACAAGAAAUAUAAAUGAAUUUAACUUUCAGGAGGAGGUGUGAAUAAAGAGUUUGCAUCUGAGAAGAGGAACUUAGCAUCAUGCCUAUUAAGCAGCAGUAGGAUGAAAAUCUCAGUGUGCCUGACAGCAACAUAUUCUGUUGCCCUUGCUGUCAUUCUAAGAAGCCUUUGUAGAACUCAGUGAGCUUUAGAGAGCUAUGUUUGUUUUUAUAAUUAUUCCUUCUCCCCUUCUUUCCCUUUUUAAAUUUUUAUUUUAUUAAUUAAUCUGUAUGUUAAUGCCAUUAAGCACAGCUUGUCAAAGUACUAGCAUACACCAGAGAAACUGUUGGCUUCUUCAGUUUGACCAGCUGAAAAUUGCCCCUGUUGUCCAAACCUGCAGCCAGGGAUUGAUGUGGUAUGGGAAACCUCAACUAUGUUUCCUCUCCUUAUGAGUAUGCUGCCAGAAAAGCAACGUUCAUAGAGACCUCAAGGCUGUUUCCACAAGCCAGAAGAGUUGCUUCUCCUGUAUGGGAUCCCUCAGUGUCGUGGUACCUUCUUGCAUUGCCCUCCAGCUUCUGCAACAGUAUUUAUUGCAGUGUGCUGCUGAAAUUGGUUUUGCUUGCAGAAGUUGCAUUUCACUGAGGUUCUGAGCGUUACUGAAUCAUCCUUAAUAAACUGUGCUUUCCUUUAUUAGUUUUUCUAGAAUAUGAGGUUCAGACUUAUUUCUCAAUUUACCUGCUUUCCAACUCAAAUCCUCUUUAGAGCAGCAAUAUUGCCCAGAAAAUAUAUUUUCUACAGUCAGAGCACUUUGACAUUGUAAGCAGAGGACAAACAACUUAACUUUAAUUCGUGUAGUUUGAAAAAACCUUUCAUUGACUCUUACCUCUGGUUGUCAGUUAAAAUCAUGGUCUUGGUACCAAUGAUAGCUGCAGUUCUCGUUUUUGCCUAAAAACCUGUGUUGUGUCAAAAACCAAAGUAAUCUUGUUUCUUUUCGGUGCACCGAUACUUGGCAAUUCUGAACAGGUCAUAAACUCAUUAAAACCUCUCCAUUAGUUCUUAACCGAUGUUCAUACAGUAGCUCAAUACAAAUUGUGUUUACACAAUAGCAUUAAAAAAAACCCUGUGCUAUGCUUUUUCUUGUUUUUAAGUUUCAACCAAUUUGUAUAUUCUAUGCAUACUGCAGGACUUGUGGGAGGAGGUGGAUGCCUCAGAGGCGAAUGCAGCAUUAGUUGACCAUCGGUUAUUAAAAACUAUGCAGAAACCUCAAGAGCUGCUUGUCUUCUUUUGUUGCUCCAGGAGGUAUAGGCUGCAGAACCAUUUUUAGAACCUUAUUUCUCACUUUCAUGCUUGCCUAGGGGUGAUUUUUUCUCCCAUGAGUGCUAUAUUCUUGUGAGUGAUACACUGGCUACAUUCAGGCUGAGUCAACUGGUGCUUAGAGGAGUAGGCAAACAUGGCAGCAUGAUGGACCUGAUCAGCAGAAGCCAACAGACAAGCUCCUACAUGGUUUGUAGAAAGCUUGCCAAGCUAUGACUAGGAUUCUCAGCAGAUGGCUUUCCUACCAACGAACGUGAUGAGAUACCCCAAACUUUUUUGUGGAUAUGCCCAUAAUCAGAGGCACUUGAAGUAGCUCUCAGUUUCUCUGUCCAGUUUGUACUGGCAUUUUUAAACAGACUAUGAAGCAAUAAAUAUCCUUUGUAGUCCAAAGGCCAAUACAGGACAGGGAGGCUUUGAAGGGGCACAAGAAAGGUAGAGCCAAAGUAAACACCAAGAGAAGAGAGGAAGAAGCAGAGGGAGUACUGGGAAUCUGUCAGGUGCAGAGAAGGCCCUCUGACAUAAUUGAUUAGUUACAACACUUAGCAUACAGCAGUAAAAAGAGCCUUUCUAUCCCAGAGGUAUUAUGUUUGCAAUUGCAGUAUGCUCCUGCUGGGAAGAUUAUAUUCCACGUCUGAGUUAUGGCAAACUGGAAUUGUUUUGUAGUAACUGUAUUUUUCAACAAAUGUGACUUUAAACUGAAACAUCAUACUGCUUGUUCUCACCUAUGCUAAUUAAAAAAAAAAAAAAAAAAAAAAGCAGUGUGCUGCAGGUGUACUGCAGGUUUGGUUGGAUUACUAAGCCUCCCUGAUUGGGUUCUUAUGUCCCAAGAACAUAUUGAACACAUGCUCUGGUUCUGUUCAAAGGCCCCAUGAGAGGCAGGGGCUGAUUGAAAGCUCUGUUAUACUGAAGGGGGUGACCAGAAUAGAACAGCUGCUGUAAACCUGCUGAACAUUUUCAUUUAUAAAUAAUUUUAUAUACUAUCUGGAACAGAAAUAGUGCAAACAUUUACAAAAGUUGUAGCUGAGAUUCAGGUUGAACAGUAAGUAGGAAAUGUCAUUAAAUAAUUACCAGAUUUUAAAGGUCUCUCUAGUGUCUUAAAGACAGAUACUUAGGUUAGAGACAUUUUAAUUGAAACACAUUGACAGCUUUUCUUUCCUUGCAGUGUGCUUGUCUAAGGUUCAUCUGGGUCUCCCAUAAAGUUCUUGACAUUAUCCAAGAAUCAUGCUGUGAUUUAGCCCAGGACAGUAUAUUCAUUAGGUAUGAGGUUCACCUGCUUCAUGGGCAGGAAGGGUUGUUCCUGUUCCCUGACAAAGUUUCCCUCAGAAAACCUUCACCCUCCUGUAUGUAGAGGUAAUAUAACAGAUUGGACUGACCAAGAGACUGUUUUUAUUUCAGAUGGAAUAUAGCUAAGUAGUACAUGGACCCAUUUCCCAAAUCUUCUCUCUAGCUUCAAUGGAGCAGAUCCAACCUUUGCAGUGGAGGCCUGGCUGGAAUCUGUCUGAGAUCACCAUGGGAAGGGCACAAUACACUGAAGGAUAGAUGUUUUUCCCCCUUAGGAUGCUGAUGUUCUAUGGAAAAACAAAACCAAACAGAUUUUUGCAAUCUGAGGGAGAGAAAGCCUUACUGAGGCUUUUGCUCAGUAACGCUCUGCUUACUGAGCGUUUGCUCAGUAACAGAGAUCUCAAAAAUUGUGCUCCCCAAAAAACCCUGGGCAAGUUCCCAACUCCUGACAGUGAGUAACCAUGUCACUGCCAAUUGGUGGCCUUGCUGGGCUCAUCUUUCCCUGGCCUUGCUGUCCUUUAGCUCAUGAAUGCUGCUGUGCUGAGGCAGCCCAGUGAGGCCUGUUGGAGCAAGCAUGUGAAGGCUAUGCCACGUGACCAAGCCAUGACCUGGCUCCCUCCUGCCUGCUUGGCUUGCUUGUGGUCUUAUUUGGACUUAGUGUCUGUUGGUACCAUUGCAUCUGAACAGGUGUGGGCUGGAUGAGGAGAUGCGUCUAUUUUGUAGAAACUGGGUGAAGGUGUCUCUCCUUUGUAUGCUUUUACUGCCCCCAGUGAUGGAUAAUGUAAACUCCUUCUGCUUUGAGUAUGACAGGGAUUUUUACCUCUUUUCUUAACAAAUUUCUAUUUGAAAGAUAAAGUAAAAAGAGCUGUGACUAUCCCUUAUGAUUCAUAUGACUCUGUGAGCAACAGAGCAGCAACUAAAUGACUCAGCUUGUGGAUGCUCAGUGUAUGCUAGCUGGACGUUUAAUGGGAAAUAUUGCAGGAAAGAGACUGUAAACCUACCAACUUUGUUACUUCUAUGUUCUGGGCAUGGAUCAACUGUGUGUGUGCUGACAUGAAUCUUUUAAGUUAGGUGCCUAACAGCUUAAUCUCUUUCUGGAAAUUUGGUAGUGAAGGCAGGUAGAAUUGAAAGACUUAUAGGGAUUUGUCAGGUAUAAAGGAUGAAUUGAUGUACGGGGCAGAUAUUUAUCACAUAGAAGCAGCACUUAGGUUAUAAACCGGCAUAGUUCUUAUAAGAGUUCCUUUUUCUUCUGUUGAAGUGGGUGGAAAUCUUAUGUGCUAGUUAAUAAGAAGGUGGUGGCAAUCACUGGAAAGCAGCAAUAAAGAAGGAUUUCUGAUCAGUUGUUUUAUGCUGAACAGGCAGGACUGAUAUAGCUCUAUAUCUUAUCUGUUGGCAUAAUUUACAAGGAAUUAAAUACAACUUCCCUUACUUCAUACUGGAUACGUACAAUGCAUUUUCAAAGUACAACAUAGUGACUUGGUUUAAUGGCAUUUGCACUCUUGAGUGUGUGACAACUACAAUAUAUUUUUAUUACAGCUUCACUGUAUUAACAGCCUAUGAAAUGAUUGCCUGGGUAUUAUAGUUACUUUUCAGAAUUGAGUUUGCACUUUCUUCUGAGGGCUCAUUUUUUUGUGUUGAGCUUUGUCCUCCUGACAAGAUGCUGAAAGAAAACUGGGAGACUGAAAUCUAGAACCAUUAAAACCUGGGUUUCCAAAAACUGAUGUUAAUUGGCGUAUGACUUCUGUCAACUCCUUUUUCCCUCAGUUGUUAUAAUCCAGAUAGCAUGUUUGUGUGUGUGUCUACCUUCCAGUCUCCUUGUCUGUCUCCACUCAUUUAGGUAUAGUUCUCAAAUGUCUGAUGUGUGUGAGCUCAUUCUGCAGCCUUUUGCUCCAUCAAGGCACUAAAUAGCCCUCUCUUGGAUGUAUUCCAUUGUAUAUUUUAACAAAAUCUCUAGGAACACACUGUCUUUGAGAUGCAUGUGUCUGUGUUCAGCGAACAGGUCCAAAAAUUUCUGGGAACAAGGGCAGAUAGACUACCAUGUGCAUAUUGCGCGUAAUGAACCUAUAAACUUUCCAUGUUUAGGAACAGUGUAACUAGUAUUGCUUGUGAUCUUUUUUCUGUGCACUGGAUGAAUUUUCACAAGCUCUGAAAAUUAAAUCCCACUUCAAGAAGAAACUGAUUUGCCUUUGGGUUUUUUCCAGGCCUGUUGUUUAUUUAUAUAUUUAUUUUGCUUUUCUGUAAUCCAUCUUCAUAAGUGGUUUAAGAGAAAUGCUGACACACUCUUACCUCUGCCAUCACCAGUGGGUGCUAUUCUAAAACUGUAUAAUGAGUUUAAUGAAUAUUGUGGCUCAAAGUUAGACACUGAACCUGAAUUGAAAGCAUUCACCAGUGAAAAAAGGAUGGGCCAUUAUUGAUAGCUAGUCAAAAGUGAAGACUUAGCUGUAAUUAUUUACAAAUCAAUUAAUGGACCUUUCCUCUAACACCCUAUCCGUCAAAGACUGGCUAAGAGCGCAGGGAGAGCCUUGAUAAGAAUACACCAUGAAACAAAAUCAAUUGUCUUUUGUCAUUCUGACAGAAGUGAGCUAUACAUGUAGAUUAACCCAGAAUGCAAUAGGAACAUGUCCACAGGCUGGAAGAUAACCCAAUUUCAUAAAAUCAAGGUUGUCAUAACAAUAUUUUUGUAAUUGAUGGCAAGAUUAGAAGUUAUCUAACUUCAUAGUGGCAAGAAUCAAAAACACUUCAGGUGCAGAAAUGCAACUCAUUAAAGCUAGAUUUAUUUCCUCAACUUGGGAAUCUGUCCUUAAUGUCAGCUAAUAUAAAGAAACUACACCUGUAGCACAUGCUUUUAAAGUCAUAUGUUUAAGUUUAUGAUUGUAGCUGGCAGUUGCGUCAGUGAACAAUAUGCAGUUCUUGGGCAUUGCUGCUGCAGGUGUGUUUGUGAUGCUGAAGAAAAGCAGCCAAUAAUUUUUACCUUGCUUUUUGGAAAGAAGUUUAUUUUUAUUUUUUUAAUUAAAAUGUACAAAGUCUUUAAUUCAGAUUUGAGGUUGAAUUAUGAUGAUCUUCAUACCGUAGCCCUGGCUGCAGAAUGUCUCUACAAAAGAAUGAUAGGAAUAAAUCUUAAAAAUCCUUCAAAAUAGCAGAUGAGAACAUGUAAACUACUCCAGUAAUUAUUAGUAGACUCCUAAGAUACUGUUGGAACAACUUAUUUAAGUGAGACAAUAAAAAACUAUUAGUUGUAGCAAAUAUUAGUUGUUCAUGCAACAGUACUAUGUAUUUCUCAAGAAAUUUUCAGAAUCUUACCUAUUUUUUUUCCUUUGCACUCAAAUCAAUCCUCUGGUUUGUGUCUCCAGCUGAGCAGUACAUAUUCCAUAGCCUUGCAUUUAACAUAACUUCAUUCCACUCAAGCAUUCCUUAUCUGCUACCUCAUCUCCUUGAGCUGAGCCUUCCUUAGGUUGCUUUUGGAAAACCCUGAAGAAGAAACCAUUGCACAUCCACCCAUGCUCUCUCCACCUAUCAACUUGUGUUGGUUCGAGCUGUAACAUACUUUCUGCAUUUCCACAGGUUAUUUUGUAAAUCAUCCAAGGAGCAUAGCAGUUGCUCUGUCUGUCCAUUCAAUUCAUUUCUCAGCAUAAAAUAACUCUGAAGAUUGUAUUUCCUCCAAGAUUUAGGGCAAUAACUCUUUUUUUCUUGCUGAGUACAAGAGCAUGAAUACCUAAGAAUUAUUUCAAUACAAGACAGACAAAAAUUAAAAACAAAACUCAAACCAAAAAUAUUAGUCACAAAGAGUUAUCAGUAGUGUUUUGUGGACAAGAGCAGGGGUCAAUAGAAUAACCUUUCCAUAAUGUCUAAUGCAGUUACACAAGUGUUUCCUGUUUCCAGGCUUGACCUGAACAAACUCAAGUGGUUUGCUGGAUGUCCACGUGAAGAAAGCUUUGCGUUGCUCAUUGAUCUGUAGGGUAACUGUAGAAGUGUGUGCUGCUCUGGCAGAGGCUUGGAUCCUGACAUGGAGUGAGUUUUGAGAGCAAAUCACAGUGGCUAAAAGUGUGUGAUGAAUGUUAGAAUGAAUGAUAACAAAGAGCAAAUUUUUAAAUCUUCCUAGUACCAUUAGACCACGAGACAUUAAAAGAGUGGGAAACGAGAGUCUGCCAUCUAUUGUGUGUCCAGGUACAGCAGUCCCAAAGAAGACUCCUUGGUGUUUUCUAAGUGCUUGUAGUUUUCAGAGACACUUAAAAAAUAUUCAGUGGAAAAAUAAAUGUAUCAAAAGAACAAAAAUUGGGAGAACUGUGGUUUCCUUGGUGACCAUAACUCACGAGUUAAUUAGCAUGUCUGGUGAUUUUUGCUGCUCAUUUUUUAAUGUUUCCCUCUACUUAUUUUCAUUAAUAUAUAUUUAAAUUUUAAUGUUUUUCUUACCUACUAUAUUUCAUAUAUAUGUAUUUAUCUAUCAUUGUCCCCACCCUGGCUAUGCUGUUCAAAGACUACUUCUUUUCCUUUCCCCACACCCUCCCCAGAUGAGGCAGAGAGGAAGGGGCAGAUGGGGAACUGCAGAACUGAAACCAGCAUCCUAGCAUCUUCCCUGAAGUAAUUCCCCUCCAAGAAAAUAAUUGUCUAAUCUGUGAGAAACCGAACUCUUCAUUCAAACUUAUUCCACUUCUACUUCUAAUGUAUCAAAAUGACAUGGUGAUGUGAGAACACUGUAGACAGGUAGUAUCAUAGGAAAAAAUAACUUGUUUUCAUUGUGAUUGACACAAAUUUAUUAUUAUUAUUAUUUUAAUAUUAAAAUAACAUUAGGUGUGUCUUCUGACAUACACCAUAACCUUGGCAUUGGUCCAGGAAUGCUGACAGAGUAGGGACUGAGGUGUGUUUUUUUUUUUUUUCUUUCUCCUCCUGGUUUUUCUCAUGGUCAUGGGCUGAUAUAAGUUUCUUGGGGAAAAAGAAAAAAAAAAAAAAGCUUUAUACCUUUUCUAGUCAAGAACCAUUUGCUUCAGGGAAAAUUUGACUUAGACUGAAAGCAAGGUGAGUAGAGGAAGAGGAGUGAAAGUACAAAAUCAGCUUCAAAUCACUGCUUGGCACAGUCUUGAAUGUUUUGUUUUUUUCUUUUGCUUACCUUUGGGAAAGGAACAUUUGGAUAUAGCACAGCAACAGUAAUCAGCAAUGACUGUCUUGUGUAGCAGUUUUCCUUGGAGGUACACCUGUUCUAUGUGAUUCGCUUCUUGUAGCUUAAAAACAUGCAAUGCUUCCAGUAUUUAUGUCCUAUUUUAUCUGUUGAUCAAUAGUUAAUACUGUGGGGAAAGAAGUGUGUGUCUCUGCAAAAUAGUUUUGAAGUGCAUUUUAAGUUUUUCUGUGUGCACUCCUCUGAUUUCUGGUGUUUUUUUAAACAGAAGACACAAUGAAGGGUGCUCGUACUUUCUAAUUUAGAUGUAGCAGUUAUUUGGAAAUCCAAAAUUUAAGUCCUAACUCAGUGAAGAAAAGUUGGUGUUUACUUGAGGUUAAAACAUCCCUCAAGUAAAUAGUGUAAACACUUAGCAAGGAAUUCCAUUAAAAGCAAUUGCUGAGUUCUUACAGCCCACUGAAGGUAUCUGGAAUACAUUGUUACUUAGACAAAUGUAACAAAGUCUUCCUAGAGAGGCAAAUUUUAUUUACUGAUUACUAUCUUUAUUUUUAUUUUUUUCCAAUUUACAUUUUUUCCCAGUAAAGAUUUGUUUGCCUUGCCUGCACAUCUAAGAGCGAUACAGUGUGUGAUAACUAAUGCUGAACUUCUAUUUUCAGAAUAAAGGAUUACAUGAGCUUUGUGUGUAUAAAUGAGAUGUGGAGGAAGUAGAUGGGGCAUUUGAACGAAGUAGGGGGUUUUGUUCUUUUUUUGAGUGAAACAAAACUGUACCUGAAUAUCAAUUCCAAGUGUAGCUUAGUUGCUCCAGAAGUGGUUGGGCUGACAUAAUUUUGUAUUCACUUCUGUCUUUGAAGAAUUUAUCUAUAAGGUUUCAAACAAAGGCAUGACGUACUUAGGCAUCAGAAGUAUGGGUACCUGGGACAGACAUGAAUCAACGAUCUCUUCUGAUUCAAAUCCUGAUGCAUCAAGCUAAACAGACUAAAAAUAUCACAUUAUAAGGACAUAAAUCUUAAUUGACCAAGUAAAUGGUUCUCCAUGACUCAGGGAAGUUCAUUUGGCAUUUUUAAUCCUGAUUUUCCUGGGCUUCUCCCCUAAAUUACUGUGAUAGUAUAAAACUUCUAAACAAACUCAAAAGAGCCUAUCUGCCAACAGCAAUCUUAAUCCAUUUUUGAACAACUACAUAAAAUAUUUUGGUAUCCAGAUUUGCAGAUGAAAUCAACAUUUUUUACAUUCAUGUUAUAUUUCUGGCUCAGAAUACUGGGAACCCAAAAAAGGUUAUUGUUCCAUUUAGUUUGAUGUUCAUGCAGUAGGUCACCCUUUUUGACAGGCUUCUAGGUUUGCAUUUUAGAUCUAUGCUUGCUGACUCCCCAUGAUUUAUUGAAAAUAUUAAACAGUUUUAUAAAUCAUGGUAUUUCACAUAGAAUGACCUGAAGAUCUAGCAUCGCUCCUUAACAUCCCAAGGAAGAAAUGCUGCUGACAGCAGACUAGGAAAUUGAAAUAUAAACUUGUAUUGUAAAUUGCAUACAAGUGCAAAAUGGUAUGAGGUGACGUAACUUUCUCUUGUAAAGUGUAGUAAGAAGGAAAAAUGUUAAUUGUCUUAUGGUUAAACAAAGUGACACGAUUAACAUCAGCCCGGUUUUUAUGACAUUUCUUUGAAACGGUAGUGUUUUUAAUUGCUUAAUAGCAUAGCCAGCCUAAAGAUGGCUUUUACACAAAGGAAAAGAACUUUGUCCCUGUCCCUGACAAAGUUCCCUAACUGUAUGUAGGUUCUAGUCAGUGUUUCUAUUUGUGAUAGAAAAGUAGUUUUCUUCAUCGGUACCCCCUUUGACCAAAGUUAGCUGUAAGUCUUAAUUCCAUCUUUAGUGCUCAGGAGUACAAGAGAGACACUAGUAUGUAUGCAGAAGACAAGAAUUGAGCACUUGUUUCUGGGGGGUGGGGGUGGGGGGGAAGAAAACAACAAGAAAAGAAAAAGAAAAAUACCAUGGGAUUAAAAAAAGGAGUGGAAAAUGAAGACAAUGUAGAAAAUACACAGAAAUUAUGGGAAAGGUGUGUGAAGGAACAAGAGAAAAGUCAAAUAUCACAUUUAAAAUUUUGUCAAAAUAACAUGCUGUAGGCUGUACUACUUCCAUCUUUUGGGUUAGAAAAGAUGUUGUUGCUGGUUAUACAUGAACUAAUAGGUAAAUUGAAUCAAAUGAAAACAGGAAUGUAGAAUAAGUAUUAAAGUUUGAGGUCAGGUUUUACAACCUUAAAAGAGAGCUUAAGAAUUACAGAUUGUCGAACUUGCUGAAAUGUGCUUGUGUAUGAAUGCCACUCUUCACAGAAUUUGUAUAGCAAUCACAGUUGUCAAUAUUAUGGAUUUAUUGCUGGCUUUACCUUUAGAGAGCAACCUCAUAAAGCAAGAAGGGUAUGCUGUUACUAUUACUCUUUGUACCCCUGCAUCAGAAUGGGAAUGCUAGCGGACUCUAGGGUAGAUAGUGGCUUUGUGGUAUUUGUUAUACAGGAUUAUUCUAUGUUAGUGCGCUGUCAAAGUGUAAAAACGCAAAUGCAUAGGCAAAAAGUCUUCCUUCAGCUGUGCAAUAUGUUUCCAUUCCACAGGACAAAUAUAAGCAGGUAGAAGGACAUGAAUGUUAAAAUAACAGAUGACAACCCACCAAUCCAGCUCUUGCACCCAUAACCGUGGCUGUGGGAAAACAAGCAAAUUUCUGUGGGACAAGUUCACUGAGUUUAUUGUAAAUUCAAAGCAUUGGCUACUACCCCAGUACUUGCGGUUAAUGAAGUAGUUUAUCAGUAAACAAAACCCUUUCUACCAGAGGGAUGAACGGGAUUGGGCAAAUCUCUAGCAUGUCUGCUGGCCUGCACUCUGCUGAAUGCUGGGGCUCCUACUGUGGCAGAUAGUGUGAUGAAUUCUUCAUCUUAGCACACAGCAUGGCUUGAAUGAGCAAGUGCCUUUCAAAUUAGGUUUAACCUGACAAAGACAGUGUUCUGUCAUGAUUGCACUAUUUUGCUUUGUUUUAUUUUUUAGAAUCGGGACUUUGUAGCUGUUGGACAGAUCAAUAUGAUGGGAAAAGAUGUUUCACCAGAGAUGUAAUGAUGGAAGGAUCAGCACAAUAGAAAGGUUCUAUAACGGAAGGAAAGAAGAUUGCUUAGCUGUAUCAGAAGAUUGCGGGUUCACAGGGGAAAGCUUCACCAAAAAGGGAUCUCCAGGAAGAGAUCCUCUCCCAGUGGCAAUCAGACCUUAAAUGAGAUCUAAGAGAGGUGCAGCCAGACUCCAUCCCUUCCGGUCACACAGGUGAACUGCCUUCAUCUGUGCUCCCAGGGCUGACUGGGUCCUUUCCCCAGGCACUCAAUAAGUUCAGGCUGUGACUCAACAGUUCCCAUACAGAAUUGAUGGAAAUUUUCAUAUGUAAAAUAGACAAUAGGGUUGCUAGGUGCACUUGGACGCCAAAAACUUGUUAAGUUGGUUUUGGUCUAGUUCUUAUUUUGUGCCCCAAAGUAACUUUGUAGACACAAACUAAAGUGUGCAAAUAUCUGCUCAAUCUGAUGCCGCAGUGGAUAACUAGAUAUCUUUUCUAGCAAAGGUUUAUGUUUAUCUGUUCCCUUGAGGAGAGGAAUAGAAGGAGAGAGGGUUUUAGAAAGUAAAUAGAUGUUUUAAAUUACUCUAUGGCAUUGAACCAGUGCAAACCAUUUUAUGAUCAAUUCCUGCAUUCAAUAAUUGGAUUCACCUUACUAGGUGGACCUGCACAGCAAGCAUGAGAAGAUUUCUCAUGUUAGCCCCAGACAAGUAGAUAAUGCUACCUCACAGCUUUGAGGGUUUUCCAUCCAUCUUGACAUUCUAACUAGGGAUUCCUAGGGAAGAGUAACGAUAUCACUGGUGGUGUGGUAUAGUUAGCUAAAGUGAAUAGCAAAGGUCUUAAAUACAAUCAUUGUAAGUUUUUGACAAAAGUCAUUAUUUAAAUAUAAAGGCAUGAAGGAAUACAUUUUCAAAGUAUUGCCUGGAGGAAUGGGUGUAUAUUUUUCUUUGUAGUCAGAGGAGUAGUACAUUUCAGACCUUGUCCUGUGUUAAAAAGUGCUCAGUAGAUGAGAUCUUAGGGCAUGCAAGUUUAGAAAAAAUUGCUUUAGGAGGUCCAGAUUGAACCUUAAAAGCUGUAUGUAGUCCUCAAAGCCUGGCUUGCAUAUUCACUUUCCCUGUCAUUUCAAGGUGAGGAGGCUUUUCAUUAGUGUUGAAAGGAUAUCAAAAGAACAAUCAGCUCUCACAAUGGUUUGAAUUUCUUUGUAUCGCUAUACAUGUAAAUAGUUGUGCAUAUGCAAGUUAGACCGUAGCUUUAGGGCUGCAGUUAAAUUGCUGGCAUACAUACCCCGUUGCACUAAGGUUGGAUUGCUUUGGUUUAUGUGCAGUACUUGUUGUUUGAGUAACAUUUAGAAAUGUUACUUAUUCUUUCUGGAUAUAAAGGCUAGAUGACAUGUGGGUGAACAAAUAGUUUGCAAUUGUUCAUGCCAUAGAGAACCUAUCUGUUUUAUUCCCUAUGAACUGCUUUCACCUCAGGAUUGCUCUUAAAACAUUACACAAACAACAGAGGGGUGCCUUUUAGCCAGCUGCCUUAGCCAUUCCUUUUGAAGCAGGUGUGCCACGUGAGUCUGCCAGCACAGACAUCAGUGAGCUCUCCUAGUGUGCCUUUGGCUUAUUAGGAGUAAUGCUUGCUACUUUCCAUUUUGUUGAAAGCCAGAGCUAUUAUGAUGCAGGUCCUCUUUAUCCGCUGAGACAAAGAGAAACAUAGCCCUAACUAUAAAAUAAGCUGACCAUAGUUUACCCAAAUAUGGGGACCAUGAUGAAGCAGAAUAUUUCCCCAUCCAAUAAACGAGGUCCAAGAGCUACUUGCAGAUCCCUGAGUGGAUGAAGGGUUUCUCAGGUGAAAGAUGCUGGGAACUGAGGAACCUCUGUUGAGUGGCUGUGGCUGAUGAGUUAGAGAUUAGCUGCAAAGUACUGACAGUAGAGAGCUGCUACCAUGUGGUUACCAGCUCUGAGCCU